rnacentral:rRNA from 1 species
GGACCCGCACAAGUAGUGGAGCAUGUGGUUUAAUUCGAAGAUACGCGCAGAACCUUACCAACACUUGACAUGUUCGUCGCGACUCUAAGAGAUUAGAGUUUUCGGUUCGGCCGGACGAAACACAGGUGCUGCAUGGCUGUCGUCAGCUCGUGUCGUGAGAUGUUGGGUUAAGUCCCGCAACGAGCGCAACCCUCACUUUUAGUUGCCAUCAUUAAGUUGGGCACUCUGAAAGAACUGCCAGUGAUAAGCUGGAGGAAGGUGGGGAUGACGUCAAGUCCUCAUGGCCCUUACGUGUUGGGCUACACACGUGCUACAAUGGUAUCUACAACAGGAAGCAAAACGGCAACGUUAAGCAAAUCCCGAAAAGAUACCUCAGUUCGGAUUGCACUCUGCAACUCGAGUGCAUGAAGCUGGAAUUACUAG